rnacentral:rRNA from 1 species
AACGAACGCUGGCGGCGUACCUAACACAUGCAAGUCGAACGGGGUUAAGGGGCUUGCUCCUUAACUUAGUGGCGCACGGGUGAGUAACGCGUGGAUCAUCUGCCUGGUGAUCCGGGAUAACAUCUCGAAAGGGGUGCUAAUACGGGAUAAGCCCACGGGGACUUCGGUUCUUGCGGGAACAGGGAGGGACUUUAGGGCCUUCCGUCAUCAGACGAGUCCGCGUACCAUUAGCUAGUUGGUGGGGUAAGAGCCUACCAAGGCGACGAUGGUUAGCUGGUCUGAGAGGAUGAUCAGCCACACUGAAACUGAGACACGGUCCAGACUCCUACGGGAGGCAGCAGUGGGGAAUUUUGCGCAAUGGGGGAAACCCUGACGCAGCAACGCCGCGUGAGUGAUGAAGGCCUUCGGGUCGUAAAGCUCUGUCAGAGGGAAAGAAAUGCGGGCGAAUAAUACUCGUUCCGCUUGACGGUACCCUCAAAGGAAGCACCGGCUAACUCCGUGCCAGCAGCCGCCGUAA